AUGUUUAUGAAUGAAAGAAGGGAAAUAGAUGAAGUAUUCUUUAAGCGGGGACCCAUUUGGAAACACAACUUGCAUGUUGAAAUCCUAGGGGACCCUCCUCCACCUAAGGGAGAUCCCAUGUUUGAGCUUAAACAAUUACCUGAUACUUUGAAAUAUGCUUAUCUUGAUGAAAAGAAGAUAUAUCCUAUUAUUAUUAGUGCUAACGUUCCAGAGCAUGAAGAAGAGAAAUUAUUGAAAACUCUGAAGAAGCACCGUGCUGCUAUUGGAUAUACUCUUGACGAUCUUAAGGGCAUUAGUCCCACUCUAUGCCCGCACAAAAUAAAAUUGGAGAAAGACACUAAACCAGUUAUUGAUCACCAACGAUGGUUAAAUCCUAAGAUGAAAGAAGUGGUAAGAAAUGAAAUACUAAAGCUUCUGGAGGCAGGUAUAAUUUAUCCUGUUGCUGAUAGUCAGUGGGUAAGUCUUGUUCAUUGUGUCCCUAAGAAGGGAGGUAUUACUGUUGUUCCUAAUGAUAAGGAUGAAUUGAUCCCACAAAGAAUUGUUACACGUUAUAGAAUGGUAAUUGAUUUCUGCAAAUUAAAUAAAGCUACUAGGAAGGAUCAUUACCCUCUACCUUUUAUUGAUCAAAUUCUAGAAAGAUUAUCCAAACAUACACAUUUCUGCUUUCUAGAUGGUUAUUCUGGUUUCUCUCAAAUACGUAUGUCAAAAGAGGAUCAGGAAAAGACCACUUUUACUUGCCCUUUCGGUACCUUUGCUUAUAGACAUAUGCCUUUUGGUUUAUGUAAUGCACCUGCUACCUUUCAAAGAUGUAUGACUGCUAUAUUCUCUGACUUUUGUGAAAAGAUUGUUGAGGUUUUCAUUGAUGAUUUCUCCGUUUAUGGAACUUCUUUUGAUGAUUGCUUAAGCAACCUUGAUCAAGUUUUGCAGAGAUGUGAAGAAACUAAUCUUGUCUUGAAUUGGGAGAAGUACCACUUUAUGGUUAAUGAAGGCAUUGUCUUGGGGCAUAAAAUUUCUGAAAGAGGUAUUGAAGUUGAUAAAGCUAAAGUAGAUGCUAUUGAAAAGAUGUCGUGUCCUAAGGACAUCAAAGGUAUAAGAAGUUUCCUUGGUCAUACUAGUUUUUAUAGGAGGUUUAUUAAAGACUUCUCUAAAAUUUCUAGGCCUCUAACUAAUCUCUUGCAAAAAGAUAUUCCCUUUGUUUUCAAUGAUGAUUGUGUAGAAGCGUUUGAAAUACUUAAGAAAGCCUUGAUUUUCGCACCUAUUGAUCAACCACCUGAUUGGAAUUUACCCUUUGAAAUUAUGUGUGAUGCUAGUGAUUAUGCUGUAGGUGUUGUUCUAGGACAAAAAGUUGAUAAGAAAUUAAAUGUUAUCCAAUAUGCUAGUAAAACUCUAGACAGUGCCCAGACACAUUAUGCUACUACUAAAAAAGAAUUUUUAGCAGUUGUGUUCGCUUGUGAUAAGUUCAGAGCUUAUAUUGUUGAUUCUGAAGUAACUGUUCACACUGAUCAUGCUGCUAUUAAAUAUCUUAUGGAAAAGAAAGAUGCUAAACCUAGACUUAUUAGAUGGGUUCUCUUGCUACAAGAAUUUGACUUGCAUAUUAUUGAUAGAAAGGGAGCUGAGAACCCCGUUGCAGACAACCUGUCUAGGUUAGAAAAUGUUCCGUAUGACCCACUGCCUAUUGAUGAUAGCUUUCCCGAUGAACAAUUAGCUGCCAUAAAUGCUUCUCGUACUGCUCCAUGGUAUGCUCAUUAUGCUAAUUACAUUGUUGCUAAAUUUAUACCACCUAGUUUCACAUACCAACAAAAUAAAAAAGUUUUUCUAUGA
rnacentral:rRNA from 1 species